rnacentral:tRNA from 1 species
CACUGAGUGACUGAAAGUAAGUUCUGAUCUCUUAAAUCAUAUAAUAGUAAAUUAACGACUACUCUCAGUGG